rnacentral:rRNA from 1 species
GAUGAACGCUAGCUACAGGCUUAACACAUGCAAGUCGAGGGGAAACGAUAUUGGAAGCUUGCUUCCGAUAGGCGUCGACCGGCGCACGGGUGAGUAACGCGUAUCCAACCUGCCCACCACUUGGGGAUAACCUUGCGAAAGUAAGACUAAUACCCAAUGAUAUCUCUAGAAGACAUCUGAAGGAGAUUAAAGAUUUAUCGGUGAUGGAUGGGGAUGCGUCUGAUUAGCUUGUUGGCGGGGUAACGGCCCACCAAGGCGACGAUCAGUAGGGGUUCUGAGAGGAAGGUCCCCCACAUUGGAACUGAGUCACGGUCCAAAAUCCGACGGGAGGCAGCAGUGAGGAAUGUUGGUCAAUGGACGAGAGUCUGAACCAGCCAAGUAGCGUGCAGGAUGACGGCCCUAUGGGUUGUAAACUGCUUUUAUAAGGGAAUAAAGUGAGCCUCGUGAGGCUUUUUGCAUGUACCUUAUGAAUAAGGACCGGCUAAUUCCGUGCCAGCAGCCGCCGUAA